UACGGAGGGUGCAAGCGUUAUCCGGAUUCACUGGGUUUAAAGGGUGCGUAGGUGGGCAGGUAAGUCAGUGGUGAAAUCUCCCGAGCUUAACUCGGAAACUGCCAUUGAUACUAUCUGUCUUGAAUAUCCUGGAGGUGAGCGGAAUAUGUCAUGUAGCGGUGAAAUGCUUAGAUAUGACAUAGAACACCAAUGCGAAGGCAGCUCACUACGGGAUCAUUGACACUGAGGCACGAAAGCGUGGGGAUCAAACAGG
rnacentral:rRNA from 1 species